rnacentral:rRNA from 1 species
CCUACGGGUGGCAGCAGUGGGGAAUAUUGCACAAUGGGGGAAACCCUGAUGCAGCGACGCCGCGUGAGUGAAGAAGUAUUUCGGUGUGUAAAGCUCUGUCAGCAGGGAAGAAAAUGACGGUACCUGACCAAGAAGCCCCGGCUAACCACGUGCCAGCAGCCGCGGUAAUCCGUAGGGGGCAAGCGUUAUGCGGAUGUACUGGGUGUAAAGGGAGCGUAGACGGCAGGGCAAGUCUGGAGGGAAAGGCGGGGGCUCAACCCCCGGACUGCUGUGGAAACUGGCAGUCUGGAGUGCAGGAGGGGUAAGUGGAAUGCCUAGUGUAGCGGUGAAAUGCGUAGAUAUUAGGAGGAACACCAGUGGCGAAGGCGGCUUACUGGAGUGUAACUGACGUUGAGGCUCGAAAGCGUGGGGAGCAAACAGGAUUAGAUACCCUUGUAGUC